GACGAACGCUGGCGGCGUGCUUAACACAUGCAAGUCGAACGGAAAGGCCUGCUUUCCCUUGUGGAUUGCGGGUACUCGGGUGGCGAACGGGUGAGUAACACGUGAGUGAUCUGCCCCCAACUUCUGUAUAAGCCUGGGAAACUGGGGCUAAUUCCCUAUAGGACUGCAGGGUGGUGCCUGUGGUUUAACACGUUUUUCUAGUGGUUGGGGAUGAGCUCGCGGCCUAUCAGCUUGUUGGUGGGGUAAUGGCAUACCAAGGGGGCGACGGGUAGCCGGCCUGAGAGCGUGGGCGGGCACAAGGGGACUGAGAGACGGACCAGAACUCUACGAGAGCCAGGAGUGGGGAGGAAUGCAGCAGGGGGGGAAGCCUGAUGCAGCGACGAAGCGUGACGGAGGAAGGCCUUGGGGAUGAAAAAUCCCUUAGGAUGGGAGGAAGCCACCUGCUUGGAAGGGUGGUGACGGUAGUGGUAGAAGAGGCACGGGCUAACUAGGU
rnacentral:rRNA from 1 species